GACGAACGCUGGCGGCGUGCUUAACACAUGCAAGUCGAACGGAAAGGCCCUGCUUUUGUGGGGUGCUCGAGUGGCGAACGGGUGAGUAACACGUGAGUAACCUGCCCUUGACUUUGGGAUAACUUCAGGAAACUGGGGCUAAUACCGUAUAGGAGCUCCUGCUGCAUGGUGGGGGUUGGAAAGUUUCGGCGGUUGGGGAUGGACUCGCGGCUUAUCAGCUUGUUGGUGGGGUAGUGGCUUACCAAGGCUUUGACGGGUAGCCGGCCUGAGAGGGUGACCGGCCACAUUGGGACUGAGAUACGGACCAGACUCCUACGGGAGGCAGCAGUGGGGAAUAUUGCACAAUGGGCGGAAGCCUGAUGCAGCAACGCCGCGUGCGGGAUGACGGCCUUCGGGUUGUAAACAGCUUUCGCCUGUGACGAAGCGUGAGUGACGGUAAUGGGUAAAGAAGCACCGGCUAACUACGUG
rnacentral:rRNA from 1 species